UCUGACAAACAUGAUGAGGGUUUGGAGGG
rnacentral:piRNA from 1 species